UACAGAGGUCUCAACCGUUGUUCGGAUUCAUUGGGCGUAAAGGGCGCGUAGGCGGCUUGGCAAGUCCGACAUGAAAUGUACCGGUUCAACCGGGGCACUGUGUCGGAAACUGCCUGGCUUGAGGUCGAGGGAGGAGAGUGGAAUUCCUGGUGUAGCGGUGAAAUGCGCAGAUAUCAGGAAGAACACCCGUGGCGAAAGCGGCUCUCUGGAACGGUACUGACGCUGAGACGCGAAAGCGUGGGGAGCGAACAGG
rnacentral:rRNA from 1 species